rnacentral:rRNA from 1 species
CCUACGGGUGGCUGCAGUGAGGAAUAUUGGUCAAUGGGCGCGAGCCUGAACCAGCCAAGUAGCGUGAAGGAUGACUGCCCUACGGGUUGUAAACUUCUUUUAUAAGGGAGUAAAGUGAGGCACGUGUGCCUUUUUGGAUGUACUUUAUGAAUAAGGCUCGGCUAACUCCGUGCCAGCAGCCGCGGUAAUACGGAGGAUCCGAGCGUUAUCCGGAUUGAGUGGGUUUAAAGGGGGCGUAGAUGGGUUGUUAAGUCAGUUGUGAAAGUUUGCGGCGCAACCGGAAAAUUGCAAUUGAUACUGGCAGGCUUGAGUACAGUGGAGGUAGGAGGAAUGCGUGGUGUAGCGGUGAAAU